CUGGUGGGUUCGUCUCUGUGUUUAUCCGGUUGGGGACCGAAGACUGGAGGCGACUGAUGGAUUCUUUCCACUUCUACUUUGCCCUCUGGUUCUGAGAGACCUGGAGUGUUUGUUUUUUAAGAUUGCUUGUAAUAUGAUUUUGUCAUCACUUUCAGUAUUUUGUAUAUACAGUGUUUGGUGAAAAGGGACUACACUGUCAAGUGUAAGCUAAGGGCUCCUUAAGAACAAUCAGAGGGCUUUUUAUGUUCCCUCCCUCCUGCUCUGGCUGCCUCGCGCUCACUCAGAGCUUCAGGCCCCCACUAGCCUCUAGCCUCGCUGCUGCC
rnacentral:lncRNA from 1 species